ensembl:lncRNA
AGGGGGGUGUACCCUCCAGGGCUGAACUGUUCUAGAAGCCACCUCUAACCUUCUCAAAGGAGCCUACGGGAGCCGGAAAGAUGGACAUGAAAAAGCACCGCCUGGGUAAAGCGUGUGCGCUGCAGGUGGGACGGCGAGGGCUGCUGGGCCCGCCGCGUUUCUCUCCUUUUUGCCCUAGCAGUCACGGCAAAGUGAUCAAUUUCAACUUCUUCUAAAGAUGUCCUGGAGUCUUCCUUUCAGCUGGAUUUUGUGACAUGGUACGUCGGAGCCUUUUUGCACCUAGAACACUAGAAGCACUUCAGCACUACACUUGGGGCUCGUGUAAAACCAGCAGCUAAAAGCAUACAACUGUGAGAAAUGUGGCACGAAAUAAACCAUGAAAAGGACACUUGUUUACAGCAGGAGAGCUGAAGCAAGAAGGUAGAAUGUUGCCUUGUUCCACUUCAGCUGGAAAAGAGGGCACGGGGCAACCCAAAAUUUUCCCUGCUUUUCAAAUGUCAAUGAAUGAGACCGCAAGUGUGCUACAAGGAUUGAUUUUGGGGUUACAGAUAAAUUUUGGCAAAUAGAAUUGCAAUUAUGAAAUCCUAGAAUAAUGAAGAUCAAAUACAUAUAUAAUAACAAAAGAUAUACUGUAUAAAUGCAUUGUACAUAUA